rnacentral:rRNA from 1 species
GGGUAAGAACCUCACCUAUCUUGAUAUGUAGGUGGGGUUGUGAUAUAUUGUGCCCAGUGGGCCACUUUUGGUAAGCAGAACUGGCGCUGUGGGAUGAACCAAACGCAAUGUUACGGUGCCAAAAUUUACAACUCAUGCAGAUACCAUGAAAGGCGUUGCUUGCUUAAAACAGCAGGACGGUGGACAUGGAAGUCGUAAUCCGCUAAGGAGUGUGUAACAACUCACCUGCCGAAGCAACUAGCCCUUAAAAUGGAUGGCGCUUAAGUUGUAUACCUAUACAUUGCCGCUAAUGUAGAUGGUUUAUAUGAAAUCUCGGUUUUAUAUAAAUUUUGAAACAUUAGUGAGUAGGAGGGUACAAUGGUGUGCCUAGAAGUGUUU